UGGCGGCAGGCCUAACACAUGCAAGUCGAGCGGUAACAUUUCUAGCUUGCUAGAAGAUGACGAGCGGCGGACGGGUGAGUAAUGCUUGGGAACAUGCCUUUAGGUGGGGGACAACAGUUGGAAACGACUGCUAAUACCGCAUAAUGUCUACGGACCAAAGUGGGGGACCUUCGGGCCUCACGCCUAAAGAUUGGCCCAAGUGGGAUUAGCUAGUUGGUGAGGUAAUGGCUCACCAAGGCGACGAUCCCUAGCUGGUUUGAGAGGAUGAUCAGCCACACUGGGACUGAGACACGGCCCAGACUCCUACGGGAGGCAGCAGUGGGGAAUAUUGCACAAUGGGCGCAAGCCUGAUGCAGCCAUGCCGCGUGUGUGAAGAAGGCCUUCGGGUUGUAAAGCACUUUCACUAAGGAGGAAAGGUUGGAUGUUAAUAGCAUUCAGCUUGACGUA
rnacentral:rRNA from 1 species